GUGCUUCUUCCUUGUGAGGUUGAGGCGCCUCCAGAGGCGGCCGAAGCUCGGAGUUUCAUUCCUGUUUGACAGUGGGUCAGUGCCUUGCCAGGGAGCUCAAUUUCGGGGUUGCGGGUCCUUGUCUGGAGACGCGCGAGUUGGAGAGCGCGCGCGCAGGUUGUUCCCCGGGUCCGUCGGGACCGGUUUGUCUCUAGUAUGUGGAAACCCUCCGACUAAGGGCUUCACGGGAGGAAUCACCCCCUCGAGAGCGGGAGGACUAGAGCGGAAAGCAGGGCCACAGAGACACUACAGGAUCUGACUCCAAGGAUCGCGUGCUGUUCACGAUGGCCCAAGUGGCGAGCGAACCGGGAGAGCUUCUUGCUUCCUGUUCUUGCUCCCCUUCCAGAGAGGGACGCCUUUCGGUCGGGGGAGCUCAGGCGGUGAAGAGAGAAUCACAAUUAAAGAAAUUAUUUCGGCUCUGCAACGUCGAACACUUUAAUAAUAACUGGGGAGCAAUUGCGUUCAGGGAGAUCGAGGGCAAGUUUCCUGGCUAGAUCCGGUAAGAGUUUUCUGCGGAGGUCACCUUUGGAGGACUAUGUAUAAUUGAUGGAAGAGGGCCCGUGUGUGGGUUCCAGGAAGGGCAAGGACAGGCGCACUACCACAAUCUGAUGAAUGUUCUUAUCACCGAACGUUGGAGAUUUUCAACAUGUUGCAUUUUUAAACAUGUUCAGGUCCUGAUAAUUUUAGAAAGAAACGGAAUUUACAUUUGAUACUUGUCACUCCCUAUCUAAAAUGAAGAUUAUGCCAGUUUACUAUCAGAAUGGUGUGGACUAGAGACGCACGUACUUGUUUGUUCCCCACAGCUCUUAAAUGUGUAUUGGGUAAUUGACCUUAGGAUGUUGAACUGUUUGAGGGUAAAUUUUAUAGCACCAUUGUAAUAAUACCAUAGGUUUUUGUU
rnacentral:lncRNA from 1 species